GCCUCAAAUAACCUCCUGUCACAGACCUUCCGAGACUGACGUUAUUUGUCUCGUAUACUCUCACAGACUGUACAGCUGUUACCCUGAUGUGCAUCUCUACUGACAUUCUGCUGCCCAACACUUGUGAUUCAGUCCAGUUAUGCAUGUAUAUGCGAUACUGAAGCUGGUACACAAGAGUUCCUGUGAUUUUUGAGGAUGCAGGAUACGGGCUUCUCCAGGACAGCAGACGACCUCCGUUAUCAGUCACCAUCUCUGUCAAGUCAGUUGGGGCCCUAACUUUUCCUGAAAUCACACACAUGGAACAGUGAAAGGCUUUUCCAUGCCAGAGCUUUAGAAGGCAUGACUUCGUGAUGAGGACACUGGUCAUCACUGUCUCCCCUGACCAGCGGAGCGAAUCCAACCAUAUGCAGAAUCCACGUGGAGAACAUUGUAGCUGAGAUCCAAGAUCAGAAAGCCAGGCGCUUUUUACAGCAGCGGCUAAUGAACCGGAAGUCUCGCACAUUCACAGAAAAUGGCUUAUGUCUGCGUUGAAAAAUAAGGUGACACAAUGAAGUUGAGGGCAUGGAUGCUGACAUUGGAGGGAGAAGCUGAUUUCAUAACUACUCUGGCUGCCAUUUUUGCCAUUUCAAUUUGAAAUUUGCUGAAGAUGAUUCUUACACUCUGGAAUUUAUCAAAGGUAAUUUCUACAUAAUCUUGUCCUGGAGGGCUUGUUUUUAUUUGGUGGGUUAAACAAGGAAUGUUUGGAUGUGUUGUGAUUUUGCGAGACGCCCAGGACCACAGCAGCCAAGCGAUGACGACCCCGCUUCUUCCCCUCAAACAAGUGGUGUGUUGCAGAUUCAACAUUUGUUUCUGUGCUGGAGACCAGAGAGGAAGCAUUUUUUAAAAGGAUCCCGAUCCUCCUUCCUCUGCAAACAGUACAUAUAAAAUGAUGAACACUGUUGUGUGCAAAUGCUCUGCCUGGAUUAAUCACACACCUCUACUUUGUUGCAGGACUGUUCUUGACUGUGUGUUUGUGAUGGAAAUGUUUUUAAGCUGCUGUUAUUUAAAUGGUUAGGGUUAAUAUCACCUUGUUCGGUCACCUUUUUGGUCUGUACUGCAACAGCAGUGACCCACUGAAGGUGGUCACUGGGAACUGACACCUUUUUCAUCCCACUUGAAAGAAACUAGAGAGACAAGCACAAACAAACUCAGAGAGGCAGUGAGGACAUAUCAACCAGCAAGUCUGUACUCUGAUCGGGAAACUCAUUGACUUGAAUGGAUGUCAGUCUAGUGUGUAAGUAAUGCUCCAACACCAGAAUGGACAAACCAAACUCUGGCUUUGUGUUAAGCUGUGGUCAUGCAGUAGGAUGAUCCUUGAAUAUGUUCUAUAGUGUGUCCUGGUUCAGUGGAGAGAAGCAUGAUCAUCUGAACCUCUUUGCUGGAAAGUUUAGACAGGAUUUAUUAAACUGCAAAAUAAAUGUUUUUUAAAAAAAUUUUUUAAUAAAAUUAACAAUAUUUUUUUUUAAUUAAUAAAUUUUACAGUAAAUUAAAAGCGUAUUACUGGCCACUGAUUUGCAUUACUAUUUCAGUUUACACUGUAAUUCUACAGCAGAAUACUGCUAAAUCGCAGGAAUCUGAUGGCAUUAACUAACUUCACAGCUAAAUCAGUAAUUCAAAAGGAGCAUAUUGCCAAAUAUGGAAUAACUACUGUGUGGUCACAGUAUACAGCUGUCAUUUCUCAAUUAUUUUGUACCACAGUAAAUAACUGUGAAAGUAAUGCAACUAGUAGCCAGUAAUUUACUGUGAAUUUACGUCUUUUUUUUUUUUUUUUUUUUUUUUUUUUUUUUUUUACAGUGAAUGCAUUACUUAAUGCAUGUUAACCACAAGACUAUGGCUGCAGAGUACAUGAUUUCAGCUGAUUCAAAGCUGUCUUCAUUAUCAAACAGCUCCAUCAAGGAAGUAUGAAUGAAAAUUUCAGCCACAAAAUUCACUUUAAAAGCUUAAACCUAUAUAUAUAUAUA